UAACGUUUAUAAAUCAUAGUCGUCUUCUAUUAUUAUCAAAUAAAUAAAAGAGAGCAAAGUUUCUAGCACUAAAAUAAUUACCACCACAGGAAGUUAAUUUCAAACGCGAUUUUUUAUAAGUUAGCAGCUAUUAUCAUGCAUAUUCAGAGUUGUUUUGUGAACUUUCAACAUUCUACUAUUAAACUACAAAAAAAUGGAAGAUUUUGCAACGAAUAUAAAACUUAUAUUGAGCGUCGAAAGAUUUUCCCGGUUUUUUCCCGAUUCGCCUUUCAAUCCCUAAUCGCCCCAUUUUACCGGUACUUAUUAGUACCUACACCUAUAUAAUAUACAGUACACUUAUUACACUUGUUUAUGUUGUAUAUUUAUUUUAAGACCCUAGUCAGUGACUCAGUGUUGAGCUUAAAAAGUCCGCAAGUAAGACGUGCUAUCUACCAAUUGGAUAAUAUCUAAUGCCAAUUAAUUAACUGGAAAUCAUGGGAGAUAUUGUAGAAUUGAAUUCCACUGAAGGCCAGGUUCUUUACAGAGCCAACUCUAGUGCCAUAAGAAUUAGAGUUAGCUUUCCAUUAUCAGCAGAACCACAUAUAACCUUUUAUUCAAAAUUUCCACCCCAUCAGGAACUAUAUCAGGCAGCUGUAUAUUGGGGAGGUAUUUAAACUUGUAGACAUAUUAGAGGGUAAUGUUGUUGAUUAUUACAACAAAGACCCACCAACUUCUUUUAUCGAGUUCAAAGAUUUUUGGAUAUCGUGGCACAGUGGAAAAUUUCAAUAUGGUCUGUGUCCUAACAUUGAACCCAUGCGAUGUAUAAAACUUCAAAAUGCAAAAAAAAUUGGUUUUGUAAGUUUUCAUAUCCCUACAAUAAUAGAUGAAGCUGAGGUUAGAUGGGUGAUUGAAAGACCCCCAAUAUUCCUAAAUAGCUUACAUUGCAAAAGUGAUAAGGAAAUUGAGGGUGGUGAACUACGUUGGGUAAAAAUGACAAAUAACAGCUCAUUACCUAUGGAUGCAAUAGUUGGUGGAUAUGAAAAUGAACCUUUAUAUAUUGCUAGAGCAAUACAUUUUAAUUCUCUGACACCGGGAAAAUACCUUAGAACAACAAACAAAAUGUUUGUGCCUUGGGGACAUACUGCAUAUAGAAAAUAUGAUUUUGAGAUAUUAUGUGGGUUUAAUUAUGAGUGGGUUAAAACGAGUGAUAAUUACAUACCAGAAAAUGCAGUCGUCGGUGGUUACUCAGAAGUCCGUUACGAACCACUUUACAUAGGUAGAGCUAUGGUUAAGAAUUUUUUACUUAUUGGAAAAGUUCAUGUACUUUACAAUACAUGCUAUGUACCAUUUGAUAAUAUGGAAAUCGAAGUCGGUUCAUAUGAGAUAUUAGUUGAGAAAAAUGUAAGGCGUGGUCUCUUCCAUGACGAAAACAACAUUGUAAUAAGUAAAGAGCAAUAAGUUAAAAGUUUGUGACGAAGCGACCUGUUACAAUUUAUGUCUAGAGCCGUAGCUAAGCUGACGGUGACUAGAGCUACUUUUGUUGUUUAUAAAGUUCAUUAUGGCUGUGGCGUCUUUAAAUAAGUUGUACAUUAAACAGGCUGUGCUUGCUGUGGAUCAGAAGUUCAUUAUUUUUCAAUAAAAAAAUCCUCACAUA